UGGGGAAUAUUGCACAAUGGGCGAAAGCCUGAUGCAGCGACGCCGCGUGAGGGAUGACGGCCUUCGGGUUGUAAACCUCUUUCAGCAGGGACGAAGCGCAAGUGACGGUACCUGCAGAAGAAGCACCGGCUAACUACGUGCCAGCAGCCGCGGUAAUACGUAGGGUGCAAGCGUUGUCCGGAAUUACUGGGCGUAAAGAGUUCGUAGGCGGUUUGUCGCGUCGUUUGUGAAAACCAGCAGCUCAACUGCUGGCUUGCAGGCGAUACGGGCAGACUUAAGUACUGCAGGGGAGACUGGAAUUCCUGGUGUAGCGGUGAAAUGCGCAGAUAUCAGGAGGAACACCGGUGGCGAAGGCGGGUCUCUGGGCAGUAACUGACGCUGAGGAACGAAAGCGUGGGUAGCGAACAGG
rnacentral:rRNA from 1 species